CUUGUACUCCCUCCGUCCGGAAAUACUUGUCAUCAAAAUGGAUAGAAAGAGAUGUAUUUAGAUGUAUUUUAGUUCUAGAUACAUUCCUUUUUAUCCAUUUUGAUGACAAGUAUUUAUGGAUGGAGGGAGUACUAA
rfam:Triticum urartu cultivar G1812 contig11820, whole genome shotgun sequence.